AUUAAUUAAUUAUAUAUAUGUGUCUGUGUGAAGAUGAAUUUAACUUUUUCUGCUUUUAAAAGUACAUAAGCAUUUAUAUUUAUAAUUUUUUAGCCAUCGGAUCGCCUCAAUUCCAGACAACACUACUAAUAGUGUCUCGCAUUAAGUCUCCUUUAUUAGUACUGUACGGUACUUAAAACAAUUUGAUCGCUAAAAAAUCACUGGCAUAUGUUAAGUUCGUGUGCUUUUAAAAGCACAGAAGCGCCACUCAUAUAAAGACAAUAGGAUAAACUUCAAAAAUCAUCCAUGUGGUUUCACACUUUUUUACUUUAAUAUCCCGUGGUUUAAAAUGUAUCAAGUUAGUAUCCUGUGAUUUUAUUUUUAUCUUUUUGUCAGCUUCUCCGUUAAUAUUUCAUUAAAUUAUAUACAAAAAAUUUUAGAUAUCUCACUUAAGUUUAUCGAAUAUUCACUUUAGUAAUCUUUAGUUUUAACUUUAUCAUUGAUCUAAUAAAAAAAUUACUAAAAUCGAUAAUAAAAAAAUAAAAAUAAAAUCAAAUGAUACUAAAUUGAUAUAUUUUAAAUUAUAAAAUAUUAAAAUAAAAAAGUAUAAAAUUAUAUGGGUGGUAUUUGAAGUUUUUUUUGGUGACAAAAUUAUGGAAAAG
rnacentral:lncRNA from 1 species